AUCACUUGUGUGUAUGUCCUUGUUUAAUAUGUAACAAACCCUUAUAGACAGGUGCAAAUAGUAAAUCCUCUUUUGCAACCCAGAACUCAUUGCUGAGUAUGAAAUUUUGGUACAUGUAGGAAGGAAUAUG
ensembl:snoRNA